rnacentral:rRNA from 1 species
UACGUAGGGUGCGAGCGUUAAUCGGAAUUACUGGGCGUAAAGCGUGCGCAGGCGGUUUUGUAAGACAGAUGUGAAAUGCCCGGGCUUAACCUGGGAACUGCAUUUGUGACUGCAAGGCUAGAAUCUGGCAGAGGGGGGUAGAAUUCCACGUGUAGCAGUGAAAUGCGUAGAUAUGUGGAGGAAUACCGAUGGCGAAGGCAGCCCCCUGGGCUAAGAUUGACGCUCAUGCACGAAAGCGUGGGGAGCAAACAGG